rnacentral:lncRNA from 1 species
UCAUUUUCCUCUUCCUCCGGUACAAGAACACUAGAUACUUUCUCUUCUUUUUCAAGAGUCGACUUCUUCAGUUCCUUAAGCUCAACCCUCUGUUUAUACAUAAUUUCAUCAGCUUCAUCUAGAAGCCUCCCUAUCCGCUGAAUCUCUUCAUCUUUUUGUUUGAGUUCUUUCUCCAGGUUUUCCUUCUCCAUAAUUGUUGCAUCCUUUGCCAAGAUCACUUCAUCCAUUGUUGGGAUUGGGCUCUCUAUGUCCACUGCAUCUGAUCUCUUUGCCAUCAACAA